GGUGGUUUGGCUUAGUGGUUAGAGCGUAGGUCUCGUAACCGAAAGGUCGCGGGAUCGAAUAUAAUAUAUAUUA
rnacentral:tRNA from 1 species